rnacentral:rRNA from 1 species
UACAGAGGGUGCAAGCGUUGUUCGGAAUUACUGGGCGUAAAGGGCUCGUAGGUGGCCAACUAAGUCGGACGUGAAAUCCCUCGGCUUAACCGGGGAACUGCGUCCGAUACUGGUUGGCUUGAGUUUGGGAGAGGGAUGCGGAAUUCCAGGUGUAGCGGUGAAAUGCGUAGAUAUCUGGAGGAACACCGGUGGCGAAGGCGGCUCCCUGGGCCGGUCCUGACGCUGAGGCGCGAAAGCGUGGGGAGCGAUCCGG